CAGGGGAAUAAGGAGAGGGCAAGACUGGUGUCAGCCGCCGCGGUAAUACCAGCUCUCCGAGUGGUAGGGAUGAUUAUUGGGCUUAAAGCGUCCGUAGCCGGCUUAGCACGUCUCCUGUUAAAUUCAGCGACCUAAUCGUUGACCCGCGGGAGAUAGUACUAGGCUAGGAGGCGGGAGAGAUCGACGGUACUUCUGGGGUAGGGGUGAAAUCCUAUAAUCCCGGGAGGACCACCAGUGGCGAAGGCUGUCGAAUAGAACGCGCUCGACGGUGAGGGACGAAAGCUGGGGGAGCGAACCGGAUUAGAUACCCGGGUAGUCCCAGCCGUAAACCGAUGCGAGCUAGGUGUUGGGAUGGCUACGUGCCAUUUCAGUGCCGCAGGGAAGCCAUUAAGCUCGCCGCCUGGGGAGUACGGCCGCAAGGCUGAAACUUAAAGGAAUUGGCGGGGGAGCACCACAAGGCGUGAAGCUUGCGGUUCAAUUGGAGUCAACGCCGGGAACCUUACCGGGGGCGACAGCAGUAUGAUGGCCAGAUUGAAGGUCUUGCUUGACAAGCUGAGAGGAGGUGCAUGGCCGUCGCCAGUUCGUGCCGUGAGGUGUCCUGUUAAGUCAGGCAACGAUCGAGACCCACGCCUCUAGUUGCUACUGAGGAAGUUUUCCGAGGGGCACUCUAGAGGGACUGCCGUCGACAAGACGGAGGAAGGAGUGGGCCACGGCAGGUCAGUAUGCCCCGAAUCCCCCGGGCUACACGCGAGCUGCAAUGGCAGGAACAAUGGGUUCCGACCCUGAAAAGGGAAGGCAAUCUCUAAAUCCUGCCUCAGUUUGGAUCGAAGGCUGGAACCCGCCUUCGUGAAAAUGGAAUGCCUAGUAAUCGCGCGUCAUCAACGCGCGGUGAAUACGUUCCCGCUCCUUGCACACACCGCCCGUCGCUCCAUCCGAGUGGGGUUUGGGUGAGGCGUGGUCUUCUUGGCUGCGUCGAAUCUGAGUUCCGCAAGGAGGGAGAAGUCGUAACAAGGUAGCC
rnacentral:rRNA from 1 species